GAUGAAGAACGUAGCGAAAUGCGAUACGUAAUGUGAAUUGCAGAAUUCAGUGAAUCAUCGAGUCUUUGAACGCACAUUGCGCCCUCUGGUAUUCCGGAGGGCAUGCCUGUCCGAGCGUCAUUGCUGCCCUCAAGCACGGCUUGUGUGUUGGGCUCCGUCCCCCGAUCCCGGGGGACGGGCCCGAAAGGCAGCGGCAGCACCGCGUCCUGUCCUCGAGCGUAUGGGGCUUUGUCACCCGCUCUGUAGGCCCGGCCGGCGCUUGCCGAUCAACCAAAUUUUUAUCCAGGUUGACCUCGGAUCAGGUAGGGAUACCCGCUGAACUUAAGCAUAUCAAUAAGCGGAGGA
rnacentral:misc_RNA from 1 species